UUCGCCCUUAGAGUUUGCUUCUGGCUCAGGACGAACGCUGGCGGCGUGCCUAACACAUGCAAGUCGAGCGGAGAUAAGGGAGCUUGCUCCCGAAUCUUAGCGGCGGACGGGUGAGUAACGCGUGAGCAACCUGCCUUGAACUGGGGGAUAACGCAUCGAAAGAUGUGCUAAUACCGCGUAAGACCACAGCACCGCAUGGUGCAGGGGUCAAAGGAGCAAUCCGGUUUAAGAUGGGCUCGCGUCCGAUUAGCUAGUUGGUGAGAUAACAGCCCACCAAGGCGACGAUCGGUAGCCGACCUGAGAGGGUGAUCGGCCACAUUGGAACUGAGACACGGCCCAGACUCCUACGGGAGGCAGCAGUGGGGAAUAUUGGGCAAUGGGGGAAACCCUGACCCAGCAACGCCGCGUGAAGGAAGAAGGCUUUCGGGUUGUAAACUUCUUUUACCAGGGACGAAGACGUGACGGUACCUGGAGAAAAAGCAACGGCUAACUACGUGCCAGCAGCCGCGGUAAUACGUAGGUUGCAAGCGUUGUCCGGAAUUACUGGGUGUAAAGGGCGUGUAGGCGGAGAUGCAAGUCGGGAGUGAAAUCUAUGGGCUCAACCCAUAAACUGCUCUCGAAACUGUAUCCCUUGAGUAUCGGAGAGGCAAGCGGAAUUCCUAGUGUAGCGGUGAAAUGCGUAGAUAUUAGGAGGAACACCAGUGGCGAAGGCGGCUUGCUGGACGACAACUGACGCUGAGGCGCGAAAGCGUGGGGAGCAAACAGGAUUAGAUACCCUGGUAGUCCACGCUGUAAACGAUGAAUACUAGGUGUGGGAGGACUGACCCCUUCCGUGCCGCAGUUAACACAAUAAGUAUUCCACCUGGGGAGUACGACCGCAAGGUUGAAACUCGAAGGAAUUGACGGGGGCCCGCACAAGCAGUGGAUUAUGUGGUUUAAUUCGACGCAACGCGAAGAACCUUACCAGGAUUUGACAUCCAACUAACGAAGUAGAGAUACAUUAGGUGCCCUUCGGGGAAAGUUGAGACAGGUGGUGCAUGGUUGUCGUCAGCUCGUGUCGUGAGAUGUUGGGUUAAGUCCCGCAACGAGCGCAACCCCUAUCUUUAGUAGCCAGCACAUUGGGUGGGCACUCUAGAGAGACUGCCAGGGAUAACCUGGAGGAAGGUGGGGAUGACGUCAAAUCAUCAUGCUCCUUAUGUCUUGGGCUACACGCGUGAUACAAUGGCCACUACAAAGAGACGCAAGAUCGUAAGAUGGAGCAAAUCCCAAAAAAGUGGUCCUAGUUCAGAUUGUGGGCUGAAACCCGCCCACAUGAAGCUGAAUUUGCUAGUAAUCCCGGAUCAGCAUGCCGGGGUGAAUUCAAUCCCGGGUCUUGCACACACCGCCCGUCA
rnacentral:rRNA from 1 species